UACAGAGGUCUCGAGCGUUGUUCGGAUUCAUUGGGCGUAAAGGGCGCGUAGGCGGCGGGGUAAGUCUGGUGUGAAAUCUCGGAGCUCAACUCCGAAACUGCACUGGAUACUGCUCUGCUAGAGGGCUGGAGAGGAGAUCGGAAUUCACGGUGUAGCAGUGAAAUGCGUAGAUAUCGUGAGGAAGACCAGUGGCGAAGGCGGCGACCUGGGUAGAUACUGACGCUGAGGCGCGAAAGCGUGGGGAGCAAACAGG
rnacentral:rRNA from 1 species